rnacentral:rRNA from 1 species
AUUGAACGCUGGCGGCAUGCCUUACACAUGCAAGUCGAACGGCAGCACGGGGGCAACCCUGGUGGCGAGUGGCGAACGGGUGAGUAAUAUAUCGGAACGUGCCCUAGAGUGGGGGAUAACGUAGCGAAAGUUACGCUAAUAUCGCAUACGAUCUAUGGAUGAAAGUGGGGGAUUCGCAAGAACCUCAGGCUCCUGGAGCGGCCGAUAUCUGAUUAGCAGUUGGUAGGGUAAAAGCCUACCAAGGCAUCGAUCAGUAGCUGGUCUGAGAGGACGACCAGCCACACUGGGACUGAGACACGGCCCAGACUCCUACGGGAGGCAGCAGUGGGGAAUUUUGGACAAUGGGGGCAACCCUGAUCCAGCAAUGCCGCGUGAGUGAAGAAGGCCUGG